AGAGGAUGAAGAAGGAGCUGUGUGUCCUGACGAGGGAUUAGACAGCUGAUGGGAGAGUGCGCGGCCUGCAGCCCGGCAUCCUGUUGCACGAGGAUGCACCUGCUCCGGUCCAGCAGGUCCUGUGCGGCGCGAGGCCCCGUCAGCACAGCUGUGCUGCCGGGCACGUCCCAGCUCGUCCCAAACCCCAGCUCCGUCGUCGAUUCCACCCACCUCUCUGGGCAGAACAAAACAACAGGCGCCCGCACCAGAGUGUCGACAAGCAAGACAGAAGAACAAGGGAGAACAAUAAUAAUAACACAGCUGGCUGAAAAAAAUCCCCAGAAAAUCCCCUUCGAAAAGCCAAGAGCGAUGGAUAACUGCC
ensembl:lncRNA